AGUUUGAAUCAUGGCUCAGGAUGAACGCUGGCGGCGUGCUUAACACAUGCAAGUCGAACGAUGAUGCCCAGCUUGCUGGGUGGAUUAGUGGCGAACGGGUGAGUAUCACGUGAGCAACCUGCCCUUGACUCUGGGAUAAGCCUGGGAAACUGGGUCUAAUACCGGAUAGUACUUCCUGCCGCAUGGUGGGGGGUGGAAAGCCUUGUGCGGUCUUGGAUGGGCUCGCGGCCUAUCAGCUUGUUGGUGGGGUGAUGGCCUACCAAGGCGACGACGGGUAGCCGGCCUGAGAGGGUGACCGGCCACACUGGGACUGAGACACGGCCCAGACUCCUACGGGAGGCAGCAGUGGGGAAUAUUGCACAAUGGGCGGAAGCCUGAUGCAGCGACGCCGCGUGGGGGAUGACGGCCUUCGGGUUGUAAACCCCUUUCGGCAGGGAACAAGCCGUUUCGGCGGUGAGGGUACCUGCGGAAGAAGCGCCGGCUAACUACGUGCCAGCAGCCGCGGUAAUACGUAGGGCGCGAGCGUUAUCCGGAAUUAUUGGGCGUAAAGAGCUCGUAGGCGGUUUGUCGCGUCUGCUGUGAAAGCCCGGGGCUCAACCCCGGGUCUGCAGUGGGUACGGGCAGGCUGGAGUGCAGUAGGGGAGACUGGAAUUCCUGGUGUAGCGGUGAAAUGCGCAGAUAUCAGGAGGAACACCGAUGGCGAAGGCAGGUCUCUGGGCUGUUACUGACG
rnacentral:rRNA from 1 species